GCUAGCCUACCAUGCCAAGCAACCAACCGUGCAUUGCAAUGUCUGCUUGGUUUUAUUUAGUUUUUAUAUUUCACAUAAACCUGUAUUACAAAUUACUGACGUCGUUGUUGUUGCAAGUCAUUUUUAAUAUGUUGAGCAUAUGUUUGCUGGCAGAGAGCGAGCGAGCGAGCGUGUGAGAGCCAACGGUGUUUUGUUUCAAUUAUGGUGAGAGCGUGGACGACAACUAAAAUCGGAGUAAAACCAAAACAAGACACAAGCAACAAGCCGCCGCCGCCGCUGCACAUUAUUAAGUCAAAUAGCAAAACUUUAGUUAAACGAAGGAUAUCGUGGCGAGAGGUUGUUGACGAAAGAUCAAAACGGUUAAAUUUUUGAAAGCAAACAAAUAAAAACGGAAAAAGAAAUUGUAAAGCAAAAAAUCGACAGCAGAGUGUUGUGGCUACUAGUUGCGUUGUCGUUCGUGCAUUGCAUUGUGUACGUGUGUGUGUGUAAAUAUAUGGCCAAAGUGCAUAGUUGCAUUUUGAGCCAGGCAAUUUUGUUAGAAAACGAAAAUAUUAAACUACAAAUGUGAAUAAAAGUUAUUUAAAGAUUAUUAAUUAAAUGAAUAAUAGAAUUAAAAAAUACUGAAAAAUUCAAAAUAAAGAAAUUAGUUUUGGUGGCGUUGUAUCCACAACUCUAAAUAGAAAGGGGAAACCUACUGGAAAAGAAAUCUUUAAUGGAUAUUUAAAUUGUUGCUGCUAAUAAACUUAAAUAUUUAUAAAGAAAACUAAUCUCUGCGGAUUUUUUUUCAUUUUGGAUAAAAUCACUUUUACUUUCUAACAAUUUUUGUGUGCAAAGUGAAUAUAAAACGAAAAGUUUUUGUUUGAAAAUAGAUUACAAAAAAACACCGAAAAGUUAUAAUUAAAAUUUUGGAAAAUCAAAACGAAGUGAAAGAAAACCAAUUUCUUUUCGAAGGUGCAUAACGAAUUACACAAAAAAUAUAUAUGAAAUAUUAUGAAUGAUUAUUAAAUCAAUGGUUCUGUGAAAUAUUCGAGGAUUUCUCAAUCAAAAACCCAGCAACAAAUGGAUUAAAAAACGAACUGUUUUUGGAAGAAAAACUGGAGUAAUUUGAAGUCAAGUGUUUCUUUCGACGAAUUUUCAUGGCAUCUGUCAGAAUCUAAACGAAUUUUGUAAGUAUAAUUUUUAAAA